UUGUAUUCACUAUAUAAAUGUUAGGCUUGUUCCAACCCCAUACCAUUGCAGAGAAGUCUAGGGUUUCGUCAAUUAGGGUUCCUCUCUCUACCGCCGAUGAGAUUUUGUUGUAGUUCUUCUAGUUUAUCUUCUGGAAAAUAGUGAAGAUUGAUGCGAUGAAGAACGAAAUUAAUGAUGAAAAUCAUCGAUUAUAGAGUGGUUACUUCAUAAUCCCUCUGUAAGAUGAAUAUCUGUCUGGUUCGUAUUCACUGAGCUUCGUAUCUUCUUUAUUUUAUUUCUUUAUUUCCGAUCCGAAGGGUCCUAUGGAUGGGGCGCCAUUCUAAUCAAUGCGCUUUUGCUCCAAGUUUGCCUUCGGAAAUCGUAGUGAAAGAAGAUCGCCGAGCCAAUCUCUGAAUAACUGACAUUAAUGUUAUCAGCACCUUCUUGGUAGCCAAUUCUGCGUGCAGGUAUUUGGCUCGUUUUACUGAUCUGCUACAACAACAAAUUGAAUCAUCUGCAUAUCAAGAAUGCAGCAUUGAACCUUGUUUCUUCAAUUUUGGAUCCUGAUGGAAUCGUAGUUCUUCCAAAUUGAAACAUAAAAGUUCAUUAGAGGAGUUGAAAUCUGGAAUUUGAUCUUUGUUAAUUUCUUCCCUCGCGGGUGUCAUUGAAAUAGUUGCAAUAUAGGAUGUGGUUGUCGGCCUUCCCCAUCCUGCCCUGUGGAUUGUAGUAUGCCACAAAUUAUGAACAAACACAUUUAUUAAACGAGAUCUCAACACGACAAGCUAGUUGUAAUUUAUUUUUAAUUUGAUAUUUUUAUAAACUUCAAAAUAGAGUGA